UUAAAACACCACUUCCUGUACAAUCACAGAAGUUAAGCAAUGUUGAGCCUGGUCAGUACCAAAUUGGUGACCACUUGGGGAUACUAGGUGCUGUAAG